GUGCCAGCAGCCGCGGUAAUACGGAGGAUGCGACGUUAUCCGGAUUCAUUGGGUUUAAAGGGUGCGCAGGCGGCCUCCAAGUCAGCGGUCAAAGUUCCGGGCUCAACCCGGUGCCGCCGUUGAAACUGGGGUGCUUGAGCAGGUGCGACGGAGGCGGAAUGCGUGGUGUACGGUGAAUGCAUAGAUAUCACGCAGAACCCCGAUUGCGAAGGCAGCUUCCGACACCCGUCUGACGCUGAGGCACGAAAGCGUGGGUAUCGAACAGGAUUAGAUACCCUGGUAGUCCACGCGGUAAACGAUGAAUACUGGUUAUCCGGUCCGUUUCUGGUCUGGGUGACUCAAGCGAAACAUUAAGUAUUCCACCUGGGGAGUACGCCGGCAACGGUGAAACUCAAAGGAAUUGACGGGGGCCCGCACAAGCGGAGGAACAUGUGGUUUAAUUCGAUGAUACGCGAGGAACCUUACCCGGGCUCAAACGCGCAGAGACAGUCGCGGAAACGCAUCUCCCCUCGGGGCCCUGUGCGAGGUGCUGCAUGGUUGUCGUCAGCUCGUGCCGUGAGGUGUCGGCUUAAGUGCCAUAACGAGCGCAACCCCCAUCUCCAGUUGCCACCGCGUUAUGGCGGGCACUCUGGAGAGACUGCCGGCGCAAGCUGUGAGGAAGGCGGGGAUGACGUCAAAUCAGCACGGCCCUUACGUCCGGGGCGACACACGUGUUACAAUGGCGGGGCACAGAAGGAAGCCAGGCUGCGAGGCCGAGCCGAUCCCGAAAACCCGUCUCAGUUCGGAUCGGAGUCUGCAACCCGACUCCGUGAAGCUGGAUUCGCUAGUAAUCGCGCAUCAGCCAUGGCGCGGUGAAUACGUUCCCGGGCCUUGUACACACCGCCCGU
rnacentral:rRNA from 1 species